UACGUAGGGUGCGAGCGUUGUCCGGAAUUAUUGGGCGUAAAGGGCUCGUAGGCGGUUUGUCGCGUCGGGAGUGAAAUCCACUGGCUUAACUGGUGGCUUGCUUUCGAUACGGGCAGACUGGAGGUAUGCAGGGGAGAACGGAAUUCCUGGUGUAGCGGUGAAAUGCGCAGAUAUCUGGAGGAACACCGGUGGCGAAGGCGACAUCCUGGACCAACACUGACGCUGAGUGAGCGAAAGCCAGGGGAGCAAACGGG
rnacentral:rRNA from 1 species